AUUGAACGCUGGCGGCAGGCCUAACACAUGCAAGUCGAACGGUAACAGGAAACAGCUUGCUGUUUCGCUGACGAGUGGCGGACGGGUGAGUAAUGUCUGGGAAACUGCCUGAUGGAGGGGGAUAACUACUGGAAACGGUAGCUAAUACCGCAUAACGUCGCAAGACCAAAGAGGGGGACCUUCGGGCCUCUUGCCAUCGGAUGUGCCCAGAUGGGAUUAGCUAGUAGGUGGGGUAACGGCUCACCUAGGCGACGAUCCCUAGCUGGUCUGAGGGGAGGACCAGCCACACUGGAACGGGAAAACGGGCCAGACUCCUACGGGAGGCAGCAGUGGGGAAUAUUGCACAAUGGGCGCAAGCCUGAUGCAGCCAUGUCGCGUGUAUGAAGAAGGCCUUCGGGUUGUAAAGUACUUUCAGCGGGGAGGAAGGGAGUAAAGUUAAUACCUUUGCUCAUUGACGUUACCCGCAGAAGAAGCACCGGCUAACUCCGUGCCAGCCGCCGCCGUAA
rnacentral:rRNA from 1 species